rnacentral:rRNA from 1 species
AUUGAACGCUGGCGGCAGGCCUAACACAUGCAAGUCGAGCGGAUGAGGGGAGCUUGCUCCUUGAUUCAGCGGCGGACGGGUGAGUAAUGCCUAGGAAUCUGCCUGGUAGUGGGGGAUAACGUUCCGAAAGGAACGCUAAUACCGCAUACGUCCUACGGGAGAAAGCAGGGGACCUUCGGGCCUUGCGCUAUCAGAUGAGCCUAGGUCGGAUUAGCUAGUUGGUGAGGUAAUGGCUCACCAAGGCGACGAUCCGUAACUGGUCUGAGAGGAUGAUCAGUCACACUGGAACUGAGACACGGUCCAGACUCCUACGGGAGGCAGCAGUGGGGAAUAUUGGACAAUGGGCGAAAGCCUGAUCCAGCCAUGCCGCGUGUGUGAAGAAGGUCUUCGGAUUGUAAAGCACUUUAAGUUGGGAGGAAGGGCAGUAAGUUAAUACCUUGCUGUUUUGACGUUACCAACAGAAUAAGCACCGGCUAACUUCGUGCCAGCCGCCGCCGUAA